CCACUCAGCCCCAGUGCACAGGGCUGGCAGUGACACCGACCCUGCUGUGGAACAGAACAACCAAGCCCUGCUCCAAGCAGGAAUCUCAAACCCCAGCCAGGGCACAACUGCAGCCUUGCAGCUGCACUGGGAAUAUGCUGGGAGUGUCAGUGACCCAGAAAGGAAAAGAAGCCUUAAAUUCAUUUUCAUUGAAAAUUGAGGAGGUCCACUGCAAGUUUCAGAUCUUGGAGGCCCAGGGGAUUUUCAGCAACAGCUUCAGCUGGGUAUCAGGGAGCAGAAGAGGGACAUCAACUCUGGCAGAGACAGCAUCCAUCCCUCCAGAAACUACAGAUAUUAUGACAUGUUCACAACUGAGCUAAUCAGUCUCAUUCCAAACAGAAGCUGCAUUUAUCAUCUCAGAACAGCAGACUUUUUUCUUCAUUAUCCAAGUGCAUCAAUCCCAGAGGCCUGAUCCAGCCCUUGCAGCUGACAGCAAAGUGCUGCACUGACUUCUACAGCCUCUGGACAUGACUCAAAAAAUCAAUGCAAGGAGCAAAAGGUCACAUUCUCCCCAAGCAUCAACUACCUGUUGAACCAAGACAGACUUGCAGAUGCCGGCACACUUGGACAUAAAGCGACCAACUGUUAUUAAAUUUAUUUCUAAGUACAAUAUCUGUAUCCCCACACCUGUGACUAAAUAAACCUGCUCCUCACA